rnacentral:rRNA from 1 species
GACGAACGCUGGCGGCGUGCUUAACACAUGCAAGUCGAACGGAAAGGCCCUGCUUGCAGGGUACUCGAGUGGCGAACGGGUGAGUAACACGUGGGUGAUCUGCCCUGCACUUCGGGAUAAGCUUGGGAAACUGGGUCUAAUACCGGAUAGGAGCCAUCUUUAGUGUGGUGGUUGGAAAGUUUUUUCGGUGUAGGAUGAGCUCGCGGCCUAUCAGCUUGUUGGUGGGGUAAUGGCCUACCAAGGCGGCGACGGGUAGCCGGCCUGAGAGGGUGUACGGCCACAGGGGGACUGAGAGAGGGCGCAGACGGCUGCGGGAGGCAGCAGGGGGGAAGAGUGCAGAAUGGGCUGGAGCCUGAUGAAGCAACGCAGCGUGCGGGAUGAGGGCUUACGGGUGGGAAACCGAAUGAGCCUGGGAAGAAGGGUGAGGGAGGGUAAUGGGUAAAGAAACAAAGGCGAACUAGGUG